rnacentral:rRNA from 1 species
AGACCCGAAACCCGGUGAUCUAGCCAUGGGCAGGUUGAAGGUUGGGUAACACUAACUGGAGGACCGAACCGACUAAUGUUGAAAAAUUAGCGGAUGACUUGUGGCUGGGGGUGAAAGGCCAAUCAAACCGGGAGAUAGCUGGUUCUCCCCGAAAGCUAUUUAGGUAGCGCCUCGUGAAUUCAUCUCCGGGGGUAGAGCACUGUUUCGGCAAGGGGGUCAUCCCGACUUACCAACCCGAUGCAAACUGCGAAUACCGGAGAAUGUUAUCACGGGAGACACACGGCGGGUGCUAACGUCCGUCGUGAAGAGGGAAACAACCCAGACCGCCAGCUAAGGUCCCAAAGUCAUGGUUAAGUGGGAAACGAUGUGGGAAGGCCCAGACAGCCAGGAUGUUGGCUUAGAAGCAGCCAUCAUUUAAAGAAAGCGUAAUAGCUCACUGGUCGAGUCGGCCUGCGCGGAAGAUGUAACGGGGCUAAACCAUGCACCGAAGCUGCGGCAGCGACACUGUGUGUUGUUGGGUAGGGGAGCGUUCUGUAAGCCUGUGAAGGUGUGCUGUGAGGCAUGCUGGAGGUAUCAGAAGUGCGAAUGCUGACAUAAGUAACGAUAAAGCGGGUGAAAAGCCCGCUCGCCGGAAGACCAAGGGUUCCUGUCCAACGUUAAUCGGGGCAGGGUGAGUCGACCCCUAAGGCGAGGCCGAAAGGCGUAGUCGAUGGGAAACAGGUUAAUAUUCCUGUACUUGGUGUUACUGCGAAGGGGGGACGGAGAAGGCUAUGUUGGCCGGGCGACGGUUGUCCCGGUUUAAGCGUGUAGGCUGGUUUUCCAGGCAAAUCCGGAAAAUCAAGGCUGAGGCGUGAUGACGAGGCACUACGGUGCUGAAGCAACAAAUGCCCUGCUUCCAGGAAAAGCCUCUAAGCAUCAGGUAACAUCAAAUCGUACCCCAAACCGACACAGGUGGUCAGGUAGAGAAUACCAAGGCGCUUGAGAGAACUCGGGUGAAGGAACUAGGCAAAAUGGUGCCGUAACUUCGGGAGAAGGCACGCUGAUAUGUAGGUGAAGUCCCUCGCGGAUGGAGCUGAAAUCAGUCGAAGAUACCAGCUGGCUGCAACUGUUUAUUAAAAACACAGCACUGUGCAAACACGAAAGUGGACGUAUACGGUGUGACGCCUGCCCGGUGCCGGAAGGUUAAUUGAUGGGGUCAGCGCAAGCGAAGCUCUUGAUCGAAGCCCCGGUAAACGGCGGCCGUAACUAUAACGGUCCUAAGGUAGCGAAAUUCCUUGUCGGGUAAGUUCCGACCUGCACGAAUGGCGUAAUGAUGGCCAGGCUGUCUCCACCCGAGACUCAGUGAAAUUGAACUCGCUGUGAAGAUGCAGUGUACCCGCGGCAAGACGGAAAGACCCCGUGAACCUUUACUAUAGCUUGACACUGAACAUUGAGCCUUGAUGUGUAGGAUAGGUGGGAGGCUUUGAAGUGUGGACGCCAGUCUGCAUGGAGCCGACCUUGAAAUACCACCCUUUAAUGUUUGAUGUUCUAACGUGGACCCGUGAUCCGGGUUGCGGACAGUGUCUGGUGGGUAGUUUGACUGGGGCGGUCUCCUCCUAAAGAGUAACGGAGGAGCACGAAGGUUGGCUAAUCCUGGUCGGACAUCAGGAGGUUAGUGCAAUGGCAUAAGCCAGCUUGACUGCGAGCGUGACGGCGCGAGCAGGUGCGAAAGCAGGUCAUAGUGAUCCGGUGGUUCUGAAUGGAAGGGCCAUCGCUCAACGGAUAAAAGGUACUCCGGGGAUAACAGGCUGAUACCGCCCAAGAGUUCAUAUCGACGGCGGUGUUUGGCACCUCGAUGUCGGCUCAUCACAUCCUGGGGCUGAAGUAGGUCCCAAGGGUAUGGCUGUUCGCCAUUUAAAGUGGUACGCGAGCUGGGUUUAGAACGUCGUGAGACAGUUCGGUCCCUAUCUGCCGUGGGCGCUGGAGAACUGAGGGGGGCUGCUCCUAGUACGAGAGGACCGGAGUGGACGCAUCACUGGUGUUCGGGUUGUCAUGCCAAUGGCACUGCCCGGUAGCUAAAUGCGGAAGAGAUAAGUGCUGAAAGCAUCUAAGCACGAAACUUGCCCCGAGAUGAGUUCUCCCUGACCCUUUAAGG